UACAGAGGUCCCGAGCGUUGUUCGGAUUCACUGGGCGUAAAGGGUGCGUAGGUGGUGAGGUAAGUCGGAUGUGAAAUCUCCGAGCUCAACUCGGAAAUGGCAUUGGAAACUACCUUGCUCGAGGGUUGGAGGGGGGACUGGAAUACUUGGUGUAGCAGUGAAAUGCGUAGAUAUCAAGUGGAACACCAGUGGCGAAGGCGAGUCCCUGGACAACUCCUGACACUGAGGCACGAAAGCUAGGGAGCAAACAGG
rnacentral:rRNA from 1 species